CCCCAGACACAUUUUUGGCAUUCAAAACGCCAAGCUACCAUUUUUCGGUGCGAAGAAAUUUCAACAUACAAAGUUUGAAGGGGAAGUUGUGAAGAAUUAAGCUGAAUAUUCAUGUGCAAGCUUGAGGAGAGCCAAAAUUAACAUAAAUUCAGUAAUAAAUGGACUUUUAUAACGAAAAACUUCUCAUUAAAUAUUUUGAAAGACCGAAUUAUUGACAAAACGUUUUUAAGACGUUUUGCAUAAUAAAUAAAACAGGGUGCCUGGGUUGUUUCUUCCCCGCCCUAGUAGCAAAAAUACGUAUCCUCAUCCCCACAGUAAUACGUCUCAGAGAGAUACGUAUAAAUAUCGUAUUGAAUACGUAUUUAUACUAUUUUUAUACUGUAUCAAUAUUUAAUAUCCAAUACCUCUAUUUAAUACGUAUUUAUACUAUUUUUAUACUGUAUCAAUAUUCGAUAUUCGAUCAUCGCUAUUCAAUACGUAUUUAUCUUACACUUGAACCGUAUCAGAAUAUUCAAUGAAUAUCGGAUCCAAAUAUAGGUAUUUAUACCAGAUAUUUAAAAUUGCGCGCCACGUGGCUGCGAUGCCGACGGAAACGGUUACUGGUUCACCGAACGGUUACGGUCUCACCGAACAUCGGGACUCCCGGCGCCGGCAGUGUUUUGUUUUGUUCGCGCGUAAUUUUGCAUGCAUUUGCAUUUGCACUGGUGUAUUUGAAGUUCUUGAAAGGUGCACGAUGGAGUCGAAUGAAGAAAUUGCUUCAGCUUCAAUUAAUACCGAGAAGGAUUGGACCAUAGUUUCGUAUAAAAACAUCAAAGGAGUAACCGUCUUUGACGUAAUUCCAAAUUUGUGGUUUAUAGAUGACAAGCACGAAAAAUGCUAUUAUCCGCCCUCAAUGCCUAAAUAUAGAGCCAAAAAUAAAGCGAAGCCGGAGCCUCACUGGGAACAGCUACGAGUGAAGGAGACAAAAUAUCAAUACUGUGUCUAUGAUCACGCCUGGGAGAAUUCUUGCCGCCUAAACUCCAAUCGCAACACCAAAAGUGCAUCGGACAAUGAGAAAAAGGGCAUCGGAUGCAGAAAGCGAAAACUUCGAGUUUUGUUUUCGCCAACACCUUCAGAGAAUAAGGUCAAGAGUUCUGCUGCUCCAGACCAAAUGGUCUUCCCUGCCCCUCCAAAGAUAACGAAUAACAAAAAUCAAAAAUCGACUUUUGAAAGUAAACUAGUCUUCCCUGCCCCUCCGAUUUCAACGAACAACAAAAAUAUUAAAUCAAAAAUUGAAAGUGAAGCAGAUGAAUCAGAUUCUAGACACUCUCCGAGUCUUCUGGGUCUGUCUUAUUUUGAUGAAAGAAAUCGCAGCAAGCGCAAUUCAGAUGUCAAGCGCAAUUCAGAUGUCAAUUUUGAUGAGGACAAUAACGUUGUCAACAGUGAUAUCAACAAUGAUAUCAACAGUGAUAUCAACAAUGAUAUCAACAGUGAUAUCAACAAUGAUAUCAACAGUGAUAUCAACAAUGAUAUCAACAGUGAUAUCAACAGUGAUUCCACCGGUCACACUUUGGCUUCCAUUGGCCAAGCCAUUUGCAGUUUGUCAAGCAAACUUUCUAAAGUUUCCAAAAAAAUAGAAACGUUGAGUGCAUUAGUCGAAAGUUUAGUCGAAAUUGAAAAACAAAGAGGGUCGGUUCCACCAAAAAAAUCUGAUCAAGAGAUCUUAGCGGACUUUCCCUUUACUGAUCCUGAGAAAUUGGUGGCAUACGAUGACAAAUUACGAGCGGAUGAGCAACUUUAUAACGCAGCGAAAAAUGCCCUUAAAGGGAAGGUUGAAAAAACCGGAGUCGUUGCCACUGCGAGAGGGUUUAUUAGAAAAAUAUUAGACCCUUCACUCUUUGUGCAUUUCAACUGGAAAGGACAAGGAGACCCAAAUAAAAGUGCUUUCACGGAUAUGAAAUUCUAUGAAAUGCAAAAAAGUAUCGUUACUGAAUUGUGGGGCGAUAGUCAUGCCGUUUUAUCAAAACUUGACAAGACUUGCAGCACAUUUUUGGUGCAAGAGGCGGGCAAGUUAAAGAGGUGAGUUCUUCUCAACAAGAUAUGAUCAUUGAAUGAUGAGCUAUUUCAACAAUUUUCUUUUAUUCUCUCUUUUUUUUUUUUUGGCUUGAGAAUGCUUAAAAAGAGACUACUGGACACGCACCGUCUCUUGUCGAAAAUCAAGAUUUUUACUCCUUGAUUAUUUACAUCACCACUCACUAUUUCUCCUGAGUCUUCACCGAAAAUUGACCUGCUAGAAGCUGGCAUUGAAAUUAGUGCUCACACUUGGAUGUAAUUGUAACGUCUUUCCUCAGCUGUGACAGUCAGGGAUUAAUUUAUUUCUUGUUUUUCAGGCGCAAUCAGGAAAUUCCAGAUUCUGCUGAGAUGGAUGAUUCCAGUUCCGAAGAGGAAAAUUCGGAAAAUGAAUCAGCAACUGAAGAUGAUGCCUCUCUCUCCCACUGAUAGUAUUUCGUGAGAAUUUUCCUUUUUUUAGUUACCAUGUUACUUAUGCAUAUCUCCAAAAAUUUAUUUUCCUUGGUCAUUAUUCUUUGUCUGUAUUGUUCUUAUUUAAGUAUGUCUUGAUACUUAAUUGUCAGUAGCCAAAACUCUGAAUAUUAUUUUCACUGGCUGUGUGCAACAUUUUUUACACAACUACCAAGAUUUCGACCUUAGUCAAAUUUCGGUUAAUUUGUUCAACUCAAAGUGUUAAAAACACUUUAUAAAUAACUUAAGUUCAUUGUGUUUAUGUUCGAAAGUGUCAUAAAGUCUCUUGCAACUGUCAUGGAGUUCAUUAAAACAAUAAGCCUAAUGAUGCAAUGAACAUUAGAGGGGCUUGGAGGACAAGGCGCAUAAGUGCAUUGUUUGAAAAAAUUGAGAUAUUAAUGUUUCAUCCUUAAGUAGUUCUAAAAUAUAUUCUGUGACAAAUUCACCACAAAAAUUCAAUUCAAAGCAUCAAAAAGUGAGUUCCACUGUUUUUUUCUGGUGUGGGCUGUGUGUAAUUUUAAAACUUUAAAUGCAUAUUUCUUGAAAGAGCAAAACCCGCACUUUUGCGCCUUGUCCUCCAAGCUCCUCAUUUAACAAAUUAGCUUUUUGCUGCAAUAAAUAUUUAGCCUGUGAUUUUUUGUAAGGUAUUUAUCUGACUUUAGUCAUUUGUCAGCAAACUAUUUCGUUUGAAAUAUUUGUACUUGUGCUUCUAGUUUUUUCUCUCAUACUCAUUACUAUUUUCAACUAUUCAUUCAAUACGGUGGCCAAAUAUUUCUUGAAAUUAUUUGUUUUGUGCCUUUAGUUUUUUCUCUCAUACUCAUUAAUAUUUUCCAAGUGCUCUAAAUAUUGUUUGUGUAAGUUGUCAAAUGAAAGUGUUCUAUUUUAUCCAUUCUUGAAAAGUUUUCUCUAAGAUGAGCUUUUCACAUUCAUUUUUGGAAAUGUAAUGUAGUCUCUAAUUUCUUUUCUGAAUGACAAGUGGACGUCUUCAACAAUGUGUUCCACUGAAUGUUGCGUUGUUGAUUUUGCACAAGAGAUCUCUUAGUCUUUGAUCUCAUUAUUGUUUAAUUCACAUUGUUUUGUUUCCUUAAAGUGUCCAAAUAAUACCUUGAAGGUUUACUCUUAACGGGUUUAAAUAAGACUUGUUUUUUCUAUGACUUUUUGUUUCUGCAAAGUGUCUAAAUAUUUCCGUGUAAUACCUUGAAGGUUUACUCGACAGGUUUAAGUAAGACUCAUUUUUUCUAUGACUUUUUUUGUUUCCUCAAAGUGUCCAAAAUCCAUGUAAUACCUUGAAGGUUUACUCAAUGGGUUUAAAUAAGACUUGUUUUUUCUAUGACUUUAUUAAUAUAAAAAGUGGACGUCUUCAACAAUGUGUUCCACUGAAUGUUGCGUUGUUGAUUUUGCACAAGAGAUCUCUUAGUCUUAUAUCUCAUUAUUGUUUAAUUCACAUUGUUUUGUUUCCUUAAAGUGUCCAAAUAAUACCUUGAAGGUUUACUCUUAACGGGUUUAAAUAAGACUUGUUUUUUCUAUGACUUUUUUGUUUCUGCAAAGUGUCUAAAUAUUUCCGUGUAAUACCUUGAAGGUUUACUCGACAGGUUUAGGUAAGACUCAUUUUUUCUAUGACUUUUUUUGUUUCCUCAAAGUGUCCAAAAUCCAUGUAAUACCUUGAAGGUUUACUCAAUGGGUUUAAAUAAGACUUGUUUUUUCUAUGACUUUAUUAAUAUAAAAAGUUUUGUUCCUUCAUAUUUCUUUGUUCUUAUAAAUUUGUAUUUUUCUCCUGUAAUUGUUUGAAACCGUUUCAAAGUUUUCUUCAGCAUUUCUAAUGUAAAGCUUUUAAGCAUAUAUAUACAUUUUUUAAAUUCAUCCAAACCUUAAAGGAACCUAAAAAAACAUAGUAUGUGGGCUUUCAAAUAAAUUUGAAUGUAUAGUUAUUUUUUUCUUGGAAAUGGAAGAAGAAAAUUUUGAAGUGUCUCCAUGGAAUUUUCUUGUUAUUGGACAUGAAUUUUCGUCCUUCACACAAAUCGACUUGACUGGAUUGCAACAUUUCUGUUACCAGGUCAACACUUCACUCUCAAUUUAUGAAAAGUUUGGUAUUUUAGCCUGAAAAUAACAGUUUUCGUCAAGAAAGAUAAAUUCAUUUUUCUAGCAAAAAUGUGUAAAAAUGAUACGUUGACAGAGUUACUGAAAUGUCUCAGUCCAGAUGUGUUGCUUUAUGUGGGGGAUGGUGACUUACGCCUAAUAAAAAAUAUAAGACAGGGUGUCUACAGGUCUGGAAAACCGGGAAAAUUCAGAGAAUUUUAUCAAAAAGACCGGAAAAGUUUGGAAAGAGUGCAUUCACACAACCUACCACCAGGCUGCGGAACUGGCUUUGUUAUGAGCAUGUAUUAGUUUCGUGAAUGUAAGUUUCAAGUAGGAUUUGGAAUUUUAGACGAUUGAGUGAUAGAUACUGAAGGGGAAAAGGUUCACAUGCUUUUAUCAGUUAUGGUGAAACUAAUUUAAAAAAUAGUCUACAUACAAAAAAAUUGUUCAUUUUAAGCACUACGUGUCAAAUUGUCGAUGUACAAAAUCAGGGAAUUUUGAUCAAUAUGGUCAGGGAAAAUCUGGAAAAGUCAGGGAAAUUUUUCUUCCCAAAUCUGUAGACACUCCGUAUGAAUACACCAUUAAUACUGAAUAAAAAUAUUUUUGAGACUUGCACAAGAAAGUUAUCGAAAAAAUUUUUGGUACUCACUCGCGCGAUAAAUUUAUAUUGCGGACGCGUUUCGCCGGCUCUCUCUCCGGCAUCCACAGCGCAACUCCACGCGGGGUCGCGCUGAGGAUGCCGAAGAGAGAGCUGGCGAAACGCAUUCGAAAUAUAAAUUAAUCGCGCAAGUGAGUGCCAGAAAUUUUUUCGACCAUUAAUAAGUAAUGUGUAAAUAUAGUAUUAAUACUGUAUAAAUAUCAUAUCCAAAUACGGUAUAAAUAUGAUACCUAUAUACAGUAUUUUAAACCCUGGAAAUACUGGAAAAAAUACCAUAUUUUAUCAUGUAUUAAAUACGAGAUAAAAUAUCUAUUUUCAAAGUAUAAAAUACGUAUUUUGAUACAGAUAAAUACCGUAUCUUGAAAUAGUAUUUUAUUCGUAUUUUUGCUACUAGGGCGAGGGGGUGACUUUAUAUACCGACGCGACGUUUUGAGUCACCUGCUUUUGCCGUGGAUUAUAAAAAGAAAAAUAUGGCCUGGAAUUGAAGUGUUUUUAUAGCAUUAAAGCUUUGCCGUCAUAUACUCUUCCGGCAAUCUUUCCCAGCAAAGUUACUUUUUUACUUAAAAUUAAACCACCCUAGUUCU
rnacentral:lncRNA from 1 species